AUUGAACGCUGGCGGCAGGCCUAACACAUGCAAGUCGAACGAGAGGCGGACGGGUGAGUAAUGUAUGGGAAUCUGCCUGAUGGAGGGGGAUAACGACUGGAAACGGUAGCUACUACCGCAUACCAUCCGAUGAGCCCUGGUGGGAUUAGCUGGUGGGUGGGGAAAAGGCGUACCAAGGCGACGAUCCCUAGCGGGGCUGAGAGGAUGAUCAGCAACACUGGGACUGAUACACGGCCCAGACUCCUACGGGAGGCAGCAGUGGGGAAUAUUGGACAAUGGGCGAAAGCCUGAGCCAGCCAUGCCGCGUGUAUGAAGAAGGUCUUCGGAUUGUAAAGUACUUUCAGUCGGGAGGCGUUACCCACAGAAGAAGCACCGGCUAACUCCGUGCCAGCAGCCGCGGUAAUUC
rnacentral:rRNA from 1 species